AUUGAACGCUGGCGGCAGGCCUAACACAUGCAAGUCGAACGGUAACAGGAAGAAGCUUGCUUCUUUGCUGACGAGUGGCGGACGGGUGAGUAAUGUCUGGGAAACUUCCUGAUGGAGGGGGAUAACUACUGGAAACGGUAGCUAAUACCGCAUAACGUCGCAAGACCAAAGAGGGGGACCUUCGGGCCUCUUGCCAUCGGAUGUGCCCAGAUGGGAUUAGCUAGUAGGUGGGGUAACGGCUCACCUAGGCGACGAUCCCUAGCUGGUCUGAGAGGAUGACCAGCCACACUGGAACUGAGACACGGUCCAGACUCCUACGGGAGGCAGCAGUGGGGAAUAUUGGACAAUGGGCGCAAGCCUGAUGCAGCCAUGCCGCGUGUAUGAAGAAGGCCUUCGGGUUGUAAAGUACUUUCAGCGGGGAGGAAGGGAGUAAAGUUAAAACCUUUGCUCAUUGACGUUACCCGCAGAAGAAGCACCGGCUAACUCCGUG
rnacentral:rRNA from 1 species